GUGCCAGCAGCCGCGGUAAUACCGGCAGCUCAAGUGAUGUCCCAUAUUAUUGGGCCUAAAGCGUCCGUAGCUGGCCGCGCAAGUCCAUCGGGAAAUCCACCUGCUCAACAGGUGGGCGCCCGGUGGAAACUGUGCGGCUUGGGACCGGAAGGCGCGACGGGUACGUCCGGGGUACGAGUGAAAUCCCGUAAUCCUGGACGGACCGCCGAUGGCGAAAGCACGUCGCGAGAACGGAUCCGACAGUGAGGGACGAAAGCCAGGGUCUCGAACCGGAUUAGAAACCCGGGUAGUCC
rnacentral:rRNA from 1 species